GAUUUUUUUUUUUUUUUAAGAGCAAUUGCUUAUAUACCCUGAAAAGUUUCCGAUUUUCUUAUUUAUCUCUCUUAAAAGGCUAAUAUUGAAAAUACUCUUCUUAUGUUCCAAGUUUUUGGAAUAUACCCCUGGAAUUAAGUUCCGUUAAUGAGCUACCGUUAUCUCUGAAAAAUUACCAUUUUGUCCAUUCCAAUAUAUCUUGUACCGUAACUAACUUUUUUUAUAUACCCUUUAUAUAGCAAAUACUUUUCUUAUUUGUCAUUCAAAUAUCAAUCAAUUAAUUAAUUAAGCACGUCGGGAGCGAGCAGAUGAACGGAUGAGAUCGAUCGCAGCUAAACCAACCUUGGUAGCUGUACGACAAAAAAACGGAUUCGGCAAUUAUUCGGAUACGUGAUUUAUACGGAUAUUAUACGUUCACCAAUUAAAAAUUCGGGAUCAAAUAUAAUUUUUAAAAAUUCGGUAUUAUACUAUAUAUAUUAUUAUUAUAAUAUUUAUAUAUAUAUUAAAUAUAUUUAAAAUUAUAAUAAACAUAUACUAAUAAUAUAUAAGAGUUAUAUAUUUAAAAAUAUUAAUAAAUAAUUACAAAUUUAUANAUAAACAUAUACUAAUAAUAUAUAUGAGUUAUAUAUUUAAAAAUAUUAAUAAAUAAUUACAAAUUUAUAAAUAAAAUAUUAUAUAAUAAUAUUUAUAUAUAAAAAUAAAAUAAUAUAUGAAUAAAUAUUUAUAAAUAAAAUUAUAUAUAUAUAUAAUGAGAGGGAGGUCUACCGUGGA
rnacentral:lncRNA from 1 species